rnacentral:rRNA from 1 species
CAGCAGCCACGGGAAUACCAGCACCUCGAGUGGUCAGGAGGUUUAUUGGGCCUAAAGCAUCCGUAGCCGGUUGCAUAAGUUUUCGGUUAAAUCUAUGCGCUUAACGUAUAGGCCGCCGAAAAUACUGUGCAGCUAGGGAGUGGGAGAGGUACACGGUACUCGAUAGGAAGGGGUAAGAUCCUUUGAUCUACUGAUGACCACCUGUGGCGAAGGCGGUGUACCAGAACACGUUCGACGGUGAGGGAUGAAAGCUGGGGGAGCAAACCGGAUUAGAGACCCCCGUAGUCCCUGUCUCUUAUAC